CAUCCAGAGGAGAGAGACUUUGAAGUCCUCAGGGGACUUGCAAGCAGAAGUGGGGGAAAGGGUACCACAAAUGGAGAUGAAAAUCUGUCUUCACUUUCCUGAUGUUCCCGAGCUUCAAAGCCAGAGCCAUAAGCCAUGGAAAGGCAGAGUUGGAAAGGACACCAUUUCUGAUGUGACAUUCUAUGCUCAAAAAUGCCUUUGCCUGGCCUCUUUGUGUGACUUCAGUUGGAUACCAGGUCUUCAACUGUGAUUUAUUUGGAUUACAUGUUGUUGCUGGCAUUGGAAUCUUCUCAUCAAGUUACACAACUACAAUACUGAAAGAGGACCUUCAGCUUUACCAUACCCUUCCAUUACAGAUACUUGUUCCAUCGAUUUCACAUCUGUUGUGUAACAACAUAAAAUGGAGUGAUUUA
ensembl:processed_transcript RIKEN cDNA 1700123M08 gene